rnacentral:tRNA from 1 species
GAGGAUUUAGCUUAAUAAAAGCAAUUGAUU